AUUGAACGCUGGCGGCAUGCCUUACACAUGCAAGUCGAACGGCAGCACGGGAGCAAUCCUGGUGGCGAGUGGCGAACGGGUGAGUAAGACAUCGGAACGUGCCCAAUGGUGGGGGAUAACGUAGCGCAAGCUACGCUAAUACCGCAUAAGAUCUACGGAUGAAAGCAGGGGAUCGAAAGACCUCGCGCGAAGGGAGCGGCCGAUGGCGGAUUAGGUAGUUGGUGGGGUAAAGGCCUACCAAGCCGACGAUCUGUAGCUGGUCUGAGAGGACGACCAGCCACACUGGGACUGAGACACGGCCCAGACUCCUACGGGAGGCAGCAGUGGGGAAUUUUGGACAAUGGGCGCAAGCCUGAUCCAGCAAUGCCGCGUGCAGGAUGAAGGCCUUCGGGUUGUAAACUGCUUUUGUACGGAACGAAAAGCCCUGGGUUAAUACCCUGGGGUCAUGACGGUACCGUAAGAAUAAGCACCGGCUAACUACGUGCCAGCCGCCGCUGUAAAAC
rnacentral:rRNA from 1 species